rnacentral:rRNA from 1 species
CCCUUAGAUGUUCUGGGCCGCACGCGCGCUACACUGACGGAGGCAGCGAGCAUGUCCUGCGCCGAGAGGUGUGGGGAAUCUUGUGAGUCUCCGUCGUGCUGGGGAUAGAUGGUUGCAAUUGUCGAUCUUGAACGAGGAAUUCCUAGUAAGCGCGAGUCAUCAGCUCGCGCUGAUUACGUCCCUGCCCUUUGUACACACCGCCCGUCGCUCCUACCGAUUGAGUGGUCCGGUGAGGCUUUGGGAUCUGAGCGGAAAGAGCGUUUCGCUGUUUCUGCUCGGAAAACUCAGUCGAACCUUAUCAUUUAGAGGAAGGAGAAGUCGUAACA